GUGAGCUAUUUUUGCCGCUAGUGCUCAUGGGUAAGGUCGCGGUGGGUGCGGGCGUGGUCUGCGCGGCUGCUGUGUGUGCUGCGACGGCGCUGGUGGUAAGGCACAGGAUGCUCAGCUCGGGGAGAUGGGCCAAGGCCAUGGCCAUACUCAGGGAGUUCGAGGACAAGUGUGGGACACCCAUAGGAAAGCUACACCAGGUGGCCGAUGCCAUGACCGUUGAGAUGCAUGCCGGCCUUGCAUCGGAAGGUGGGAGCAAGCUUAAGAUGCUCAUCAGCUAUGUUGACAAUCUUCCCAUAGGCGAUGAGAAGGGUUUGUUUUAUGCUUUAGACCUUGGGGGCACAAAUUUUCGUGUCCUACGGGUACUAUUGGGUGGGAAAGAAGAUCGUGUUGUCAAACAAGAAUUUGAGGAAGUUUCAAUUCCUCCUUACUUGAUGACUGGAUCUUCAGAUGCAUUGUUCGAUUAUAUUGCUGAAGCACUUGC
rnacentral:misc_RNA from 1 species